rnacentral:rRNA from 1 species
AUUGAACGCUGGCGGCAGGCCUAACACAUGCAAGUCGAGCGGAUGACGGGAGCUUGCUCCUCGAUUCAGCGGCGGACGGGUGAGUAAUACCUAGGAAUCUGCCUGAUAGUGGGGGACAACGUUUCGAAAGGAACGCUAAUACCGCAUACGUCCUACGGGAGAAAGCAGGGGACCUUCGGGCCUUGCGCUAUCAGAUGAGCCUAGGUCGGAUUAGCUAGUUGGUGAGGUAAUGGCUCACCAAGGCGACGAUCCGUAACUGGUCUGAGAGGAUGAUCAGUCACACUGGAACUGAGACACGGUCCAGACUCCUACGGGAGGCAGCAGUGGGGAAUAUUGGACAAUGGGCGAAAGCCUGAUCCAGCCAUGCCGCGUGUGUGAAGAAGGUCUUCGGAUUGUAAAGCACUUUAAGUUGGGAGGAAGGGCAGUAAGCUAAUACCUUGCUGUUUUGACGUUACCGACAGAAUAAGCACCGGCUAACUCCGUGCCAGCCGCCGCCGUAAGAC